GUUGAGUGUGAUGGCACACAUCUGUAAUCCCAGCUACUUGGGAGGUUGAGGCAGGAAGAUAGCUUGAGACCAGGAGUAAUGGGCUGUAGUACAUUAUGCUAAUUGGGUGUCCACACUAAGUUUGGCAUCAAUACGUUGACCUCCCAGAAGCAGGGAGACCACCAGCUUGCCGAAGAAAGGGUGAACCAGGCCUAGAAGGAAAUGAAGCAGGUAAAAUCUCUUGUGCUGACCAAUAGUGGGAUCAUGCCUUUGAGUAGCCACUGCUACUCCAACCUGAGUGCUAUAGUAAAGCUCCAUUUAU
rnacentral:SRP_RNA from 1 species